rnacentral:lncRNA from 10 species
GGAGCUUGGAAUGUACCUACAGCAGAGAGACAUCUAUCUGCACAUGUGCACAAGGUGAAGAUUGAAUGCAGCAUUGUCUGUCUUAGCAAAAGCUAAACACAACCCAAAUAUCCAGGGAUAGGAAAAUAACUCAAUAAACGUCGGCUUAUCCUUAUUAUGGAAUCCCACACAGCAGUUGCAGAUCUUCAUGUGUUGACGUGGAAAUGUCUCCAAGGCAUACUGCCAAGUGAAUGGACAGCAUGUUAACGUCUGUGCGCCACUCGGCCUCACAAAUAAAAACGAUUCAGCAU